rnacentral:lncRNA from 10 species
UUGCUCACUAUGUGAGCCAAGGGGGUCGGGAGGGGGACACAGGGUGAAUAUAAGUUCAUUAUGGAUUGUUCACCAUCUAAUAUGAAGUGAAACCAUUCUCAUAAGCUUUGAAGAAUUAGACUUGUUUGAUCUCUAAAUAUAGAAAAUGAUUAUUAAAAUUCCCACAUCUUUCACACAGUUAACAGCAUGAUUCUUCAUGUUAUUUACACAUCAGACAUUUAACUUGGAAUGCUUUAGAAAAAGAUGACACAGUGCUGGACUGAUUUACACUUAGGCAUGACAGUUUAUUCAGUGCUAUAUAUGGAAAAAUCAGUGUUUAUAUUAUUUAGUGAGCUAAAAACAAAUAAAAAGCAGGAGGGGGAUAAGGGCUCUACAAAGCAUACUGGCUUUUACCAGAAGCUUUAAGCACAGCUACACUAUUUUAACUGUUUAAAAAUUUUUUAACCAUAACUUCCAAGAUGAAAAUCUUUAACUGCAAAGAUAGAAAAGCUAUUUCUACAGUUUAUCAGGGCCUGAGGAUUUAUUUUUAUUUUUAUUUUUAUUUUUUGGUCAAUGAGAAGACACAACAUAUUCUAAAAUACAAAUUCUUGCUGUUGGUUGCAACUAUAGCAAUUUAACAUAAUUUGAGAUCUAUAAUUACAAUGAUUUGUUGUUAGUAUAGGGCAGUUUUGUCACAAGUUAUGAGGAUCCAAAAUAUCUUGCUAGAAUGCCAUUAUAUAUAGCUGGGGGAAAAGUAGCCAUAGGGUGGGGUUUAGAGAUUUGAGCCAGUAUUUAAACUAUUUGAAAUGGAACUGACAGAAAUUUCUGGAUGGUGCUAACAACUGCUAGUUUGCAUUUCCCACAGUACACGCUGCUUACAAAAGGUAUAGCAAAAUAACUUUUACUCUAUAAAAUAAAUCAGUUGAGGUGCUGUUCUCCCUGGCUUUUUUUUUUGAGACGGAGUCUCCCUCUGUCGCCCAGGCUGGAGUGCAGUGGCACGAUCUCAGCUCACUGCAACCUCCGCCUCCCGGAUUCACACCAUUCUCCUGCCUCAACCUCCCGAGUAGCUGGGACUACAGGCGCCCGCCACCAUGCCCGG